rnacentral:rRNA from 1 species
ACGAAAGGAUUAAAUAUAAAAAAUAAUUUUAAAAAAAAAAUGAAUAAAAUUAAU